UACGUAGGGACCAAGCGUUGUCCGGAUUUAUUGGGCGUAAAGAGCUCGUAGGCGGUUUGUCGCGUCUGCCGUGAAAGUCCGGGGGCUCAACUCCGGAUCUGCGGUGGGUACGGGCAGACUAGAGUGAUGUAGGGGAGACUGGAAUUCCUGGUGUAGCGGUGAAAUGCGCAGAUAUCAGGAGGAACACCGAUGCGAAGGCAGGUCUCUGGGCAUUAACUGACGCUGAGGAGCGAAAAGCAUGGGGGAGCGAACAGG
rnacentral:rRNA from 1 species